AGUGAACGCUGGCGGUAGGCCUAACACAUGCAAGUCGAACGGCAGCACAGUAAGAGCUUGCUCUUACGGGUGGCGAGUGGCGGACGGGUGAGGAAUACAUCGGAAUCUACUUUUUCGUGGGGGAUAACGUAGGGAAACUUACGCUAAUACCGCAUACGACCUACGGGUGAAAGCAGGGGAUCUUCGGACCUUGCGCGAUUGAAUGAGCCGAUGUCGGAUUAGCUAGUUGGCGGGGUAAAGGCCCACCAAGGCGACGAUCCGUAGCUGGUCUGAGAGGAUGAUCAGCCACACUGGAACUGAGACACGGUCCAGACUCCUACGGGAGGCAGCAGUGGGGAAUAUUGGACAAUGGGCGCAAGCCUGAUCCAGCAAUACCGCGUGGGAGAAGAAAGCCUUCGGGUUGUAAAGCCGUUUUGUUGGGAAAGAAAAGCAGCAGGUUAAUACCCCGCUGUUCUGACGGUACCCGAAGAAUAAGCACCGGCUAACUUCGUG
rnacentral:rRNA from 1 species